rnacentral:rRNA from 1 species
UACGUAGGGACCGAGCGUUGUCCGGAUUCAUUGGGCGUAACGAGCUCGUAGGCGGCUGUUCAAGUCGACCGUGAAAACUCGGAGCUCAACUCCGAGCCUGCGUUCGAUACUGGACGGCUAGAGUCUGGUAGGGGGAUCUGGAAUUCCUGGUGUAGCGGUGGAAUGCGCAGAUAUCAGGAGGAACACCGGUGGCGAAGGCGGGAUCCUGGGCCAGUACUGACGCUGAGGCGCGAAAGCGUGGGGAGCGAACGGG